UACGGGGGGAGCAAGCGUUGUUCGGAUUUACUGGGCGUAAAGGGCGCGUAGGCGGCCUGCUAAGUCGAACGUGAAAUCCCCGGGCUCAACCCGGGAACUGCGUCCGAUACUGGUGGGCUUGAAUCCGGGAGAGGGAUGUGGAAUUCCAGGUGUAGCGGUGAAAUGCGUAGAUAUCUGGAGGAACACCGGUGGCGAAGGCGGCAUCCUGGACCGGCAUUGACGCUGAGGCGCGAAAGCUAGGGGAGCAAACGGG
rnacentral:rRNA from 1 species